rnacentral:rRNA from 1 species
CCUACGGGUGGCUGCAGUGAGGAAUAUUGGUCAAUGGACGGAAGUCUGAACCAGCCAUGCCGCGUGAAGGAAGACUGCUCUAUGAGUUGUAAACUGCUUUUAUACAAGAAUAAACUUGUCUACGUGUGUUCAUUUGUAUGUACUAUAUGAAUAAGGAUCGGCUAACUCCGUGCCAGCAGCCGCGGUAAUACGGAGGAUCCGAGCGUUAUCCGGAUUUAUUGGGUUUAAAGGGUGCGUAGGUGGAUUGUUAAGUUAGUUGUGAAAUGUUGCGGCUCAACCGGAAAAUUGCAGUUGAUACUGGCGAUCUAGAGUACAGUAGAGGUAGGCGGAAUUCAUGGUGUAGCGGUGAAAUGCUUAGAUAUCACACAGAACACCGAUUGCGAAGGCAGCUCACUAAACUGCAACUGACAUUGAGGCACGAAAGUGUGGGUAUCAAACAGGAUUAGAUACCCGAGUAGUC